rnacentral:rRNA from 1 species
UUUUGUAACCCCUUUAUUUAUAACCCCCCUGGUUUUAUAAUGGAUAUUAUCAAAAAAAUUAUCCCUUCGUAAUAAAAUAUUGAAAACCACUAAUAUUUUUUUUAUACUGAGCAAAGGUGGAACAACAUAUUAAUACCUGUAUCCACCCCUUAACAGUUUAAUUUUAGAGGUUUCCCCCCUUUAUUCUCCACAAACCAUUAAACACUCCCCCUGGGGAGUUACGCCCCAAGUCUAAACUCAAAGAAAUUGACGGGGGCCCGCACAACCGGUGGAGCAUGUGGUUUUAAUUCGAAGACAACACGAAGAACCUUACCAUGUUCUUCGACAUCCUCUCACACUUCUAGAGACAGACGUUUCCCCUUCGGGGGACAGAGUGACAUGGUGGUGCAUGGUUGUCGUCAGCUCGUGUCGUGAGAUGUUUGGGAUUAAGUCCCGCAACGAAGCGCAACCCCUAUGUAUUUUUUAUAGUUUGCCCAGCAUUUUCAUGGUUGGGGCAUCUCUUAAGGUGACUCGGCCCGGGUGACAACACCCGGAGGAAGGUGGGGGAUGAACGUUCAAAUUCAUUCAUCGCCCCUCUAAUGACCGGUGGGGCUAACAACAACGUCGCUCAACAAGUGAGUGAUGAAGAAGCAAGAAGGGCAGCAAACGCCGACGAUGGUGCAGAGCAUACAUCCCACAUAUAAUUCAUUAUUCUACGAGUUGCGGGAUUGCGAGGCGUGCGAACUCGCCGUGCUGAUGACAGCGCGGUACAUCGCUUUAGUUAAUCGCAGGAGUGCAGCAUCGCCCGCGGUGAUAUACUGUUCCGCGGGCCGGUUGUACUACACCCGCCCCGUCACACCCAGCGAGAGUGUUGUAAACCCCGAAGGGCGGUGGGGUCA